UAGGGAAUAUUAGUAAUGGGCGAAAGCCUGCACUAGCAACACCGCGUGUGCGAAGAAGGCCUUCGGGUUGUAAAGCCCUUUUUGAGAGGAUGAGGAAGGACGGUACUCUCAGAAUAAGUCUCGGCUAACUACGUGCCAGCAGCCGCGGUAACACGUAGGAGGCAAACGUUAUCCGGCUUUACUGGGCGUAAAGCGCGUGUAGGUGGUUUGGUAAGUAGAGCGUGAAAGCUCCUGGCUCAACUGGGAGAGGUCGUUCUAAACUGCCGGACUAGAGGAUGGUAGAGGGAGGUGGAAUUCCGGGUGUAGCGGUGGAAUGCGCAGAUAUCCGGAGGAACACCAGUGGCGAAAGCGGCCUCCUGGACCACUCCUGACACUCAGACGCGAAAGCUAGGGUAGCAAACG
rnacentral:rRNA from 1 species